GAUGAACGGAUCUUUAAGGGCUUUUGGGCUUGAUCUUGAAGAACGGUUGGAUGUGUGGAUUUGUUGAUGUUUGUUGAUCCAAGGGCCGUCGGGGCUUGAUCUUGGAUGAACGGAUGAUGAACGAUGGUGCUUUCUUCAAGGGCCGUCGGGGCUUGAUCUUGGAAGAACGAUGAACGAAGAACGAAGAACGAAGAACACUUUCUUCGAGGGCCAUCUGGGCUUGAUCUUGAAGAAUAAUGAUGAACGGAUCUUCAAGGGCUUUUGUGCUUGAUCUUGAAGAUGGAUGAUUGUUGAUCCAAGGGCCGUCGGGGCUUGAUCUUGGGAUGAACAGUUGUGUGGAUUUUAUUGAUGUUGUUAAUCCAAAGGGCCGUUGGGGCUUGAUCUUAGGAUGAACAGUUGUGUGGAUUUGUUGAUGUACCUUUGGGGCUUGAUCUUAGGAUGAACAGUUGUGUGGAUUUGUUGAUGUUGUUGAUCCAAAGGGCCGUUGGGGCUUGAUCUUAGGAUGAACAGUUAUGUGGAUUUGGUGAUGUUAUUGAUCCAAAAAGGCCGUCGGGGCUUGAUCUUAGGAUGAACAGUUGUGUGUGGAUUUGUUGAUGUUAUUGAUCCAAAGGGCCGUCGGGGCUUGAUCUUAGGAUGAACAGUUGUAUGGAUUUGUUGAACACUUUCUUCAAGGGCCGUCGAGGCUUGAUCUUGAAUUGGUGGAAGUUCUUCAAGGGUCGUUGGGGCUUGAUCUUGAAGG
rnacentral:lncRNA from 1 species